rnacentral:rRNA from 1 species
GAUGAACGCUGGCGGCGUGCUUAACACAUGCAAGUCGAACGAAGCACCUAUUUUUGAUUCUUCGGAUGAAGAGAUAAGUGACUGAGUGGCGGACGGGUGAGUAACGCGUGGGCAACCUACCUCAUACAAGGGGAUAACAGUUAGAAAUGACUGCUAAUACCGUAUAAGCUUACAGGACCGCAUGGUCUAGUAAGAAAAACUCCGGUGGUAUGAGAUGGGCCCGCGUCUGAUUAGCUAGUUGGUGAGGUAAUGGCUCACCAAGGCGACGAUCAGUAGCCGACCUGAGAGGGUGAUCGGCCACAUUGGGACUGAGACACGGCCCAAACUCCUACGGGAGGCAGCAGUGGGGAAUAUUGCACAAUGGGGGAAACCCUGAUGCAGCGACGCCGCGUGAAGGAUGAAGUAUUUCGGUAUGUAAACUUCUAUCAGCAGGGAAGAAAAUGACGGUACCUGACUAAGAAGCCCCGGCUAACUACGUGCCAGCAGCCGCGGUAAUACGUAGGGGACAAGCGUUAUCCGGAUUUACUGGGUGUAAAGGGAGCGUAGACGGUUUCGUAAGUCUGAUGUGAAAGCCUAGGGCUCAACCCCAGGACUGCAUUGGAAACUACGGAACUAGAGUGUUGGAGAGGCAAGUGGAAUUCCUAGUGUAGC